rnacentral:rRNA from 1 species
AGAGUUUGAUCCUGGCUCAGGACGAACGCUGGCGGCACGCUUAACACAUGCAAGUCGAACGAGAGAAGAGGAGCUUGCUUUUCUGAUCUAGUGGCGGACGGGUGAGUAACACGUGAGCAAUCUGCCUUUCAGAGGGGGAUACCGAUUGGAAACGAUCGUUAAUACCGCAUAACAUAAUUGAACCGCAUGAUUUGAUUAUCAAAGAUUUAUCGCUGAAAGAUGAGCUCGCGUCUGAUUAGCUAGUUGGUAAGGUAACGGCUUACCAAGGCGACGAUCAGUAGCCGGACUGAGAGGUUGAUCGGCCACAUUGGGACUGAGACACGGCCCAGACUCCUACGGGAGGCAGCAGUGGGGAAUAUUGCACAAUGGAGGAAACUCUGAUGCAGCGAUGCCGCGUGAGGGAAGAAGGUUUUAGGAUUGUAAACCUCUGUCUUCAGGGACGAAAAAAGACGGUACCUGAGGAGGAAGCUCCGGCUAACUUCGUGCCAGCAGCCGCGGUAAUACGUAGGGAGCGAGCGUUGUCCGGAAUUACUGGGUGUAAAGGGAGCGUAGGCGGGAUCGCAAGUCAGAUGUGAAAACUAUGGGCUUAACCCAUAAACUGCAUUUGAAACUGUGGUUCUUGAGUGAAGUAGAGGUAAGCGGAAUUCCUAGUGUAGCGGUGAAAUGCGUAGAUAUUAGGAGGAACAUCAGUGGCGAAGGCGGCUUACUGGGCUUUAACUGACGCUGAGGCUCGAAAGCGUGGGGAGCAAACAGGAUUAGAUACCCUGGUAGUCCACGCCGUAAACGAUGAUUACUAGGUGUGGGGGGACUGACCCCUUCCGUGCCGCAGCAAACGCAAUAAGUAAUCCACCUGGGGAGUACGACCGCAAGGUUGAAACUCAAAGGAAUUGACGGGGGCCCGCACAAGCAGUGGAGUAUGUGGAUUAAUUCGAAGCAACGCGAAGAACCUUACCAGGUCUUGACAUCGUAUGCAUAGCUCAGAGAUGAGUGAAAUCUCUUCGGAGACAUAUAGACAGGUGGUGCAUGGUUGUCGUCAGCUCGUGUCGUGAGAUGUUGGGUUAAGUCCCGCAACGAGCGCAACCCUUACUGUUAGUUGCUACGCAAGAGCACUCUAGCAGGACUGCCGUUGACAAAACGGAGGAAGGUGGGGAUGACGUCAAAUCAUCAUGCCCCUUAUGACCUGGGCCUCACACGUACUACAAUGGCUGUCAACAGAGGGAAGCAAAGCCGCGAGGUGGAGCGAACCCCUAAAAGCAGUCUUAGUUCGGAUUGUAGGCUGCAACCCGCCUACAUGAAGUCGGAAUUGCUAGUAAUCGCAGAUCAGCAUGCUGCGGUGAAUACGUUCCCGGGCCUUGUACACACCGCCCGUCACGCCAUGGGAGUCGGUAACACCCGAAGCCUGUAGUCUAACCGCAAGGAGGACGCAGUCGAAGGUGGGAUUGAUGACUGGGGUGAAGUCGUAACAAGGUA